rnacentral:rRNA from 1 species
AUUGAACGCUGGCGGCAUGCUUUACACAUGCAAGUCGAACGGCAGCACGGACUUCGGUCUGGUGGCGAGUGGCGAACGGGUGAGUAAUACAUCGGAACGUGCCCAGUUGUGGGGGAUAACUACUCGAAAGAGUAGCUAAUACCGCAUGAGAACUGAGGUUGAAAGCAGGGGAUCGCAAGACCUUGCGCAACUGGAGCGGCCGAUGGCAGAUUAGGUAGUUGGCGGGAUAAAAGCUUACCAAGCCGACGAUCUGUAGCUGGUCUGAGAGGACGACCAGCCAGACUGGGACUGAGACACGGCCCAGACUCAUACGGGAGGCAGCAGUGGGGAAUUUUGGACAAUGGGCGAAAGCCUGAUCCAGCAAUGCCGCGUGCAGGAUGAAGGCCUUCGGGUUGUAAACUGCUUUUGUACUGAACGAAAAGCUUCGGGUUAAUACCCUGGAGUCAUGACGGUACCGUAAGAAUAAGCACCGGCUAACUACGUGCCAGCCGCCGCCGUAAAAC